UACGUAGGGGGCUAGCGUUGUCCGGAAUCAUUGGGCGUAAAGAGCGUGUAGGCGGACCUGCAAGUCGGGGGUGAAAGCCCCAGGCUCAACCUUGGAAUUGCCUUUGAUACUGACUGUCUUGAGUUCGGGAGAGGUGAGUGGAAUGCCGAGUGUAGAGGUGAAAUUCGAUAGAUAUUCGGCGGAACACCAGUGGCGAAGGCGACUCACUGGCCCGAUACUGACGCUGAGGCGCGAAAGCGAUGGGGAGCAACAGGG
rnacentral:rRNA from 1 species